AACAAACGCUGGCGGCGUACCUAACACAUGCAAGUCGUACGAGAAAGGGUCCUUCGGGGCCUGAGUAAAGUGGCGCACGGGUGAGUAACGCGUGGAUAAUCUGCCCUUCAGUUGGGAAUAACUCAUCGAAAGGUGGGCUAAUACUGAAUAAUGCUGUGAGACCUCGGUUGAUCAGCCAAAGAGAGCCUCUGCUUGCAAGCCCUCGCUGAAGGAUGAGUCCGCGUACCAUUAGCUAGUUGGUAGGGUAAUGGCCUACCAAGGCGACGAUGGUUAGCUGGUCUGAGAGGAUGAUCAGCCACACUGGAACUGAGACACGGUCCAGACUCCUACGGGAGGCAGCAGUGAGGAAUCUUGCGCAAUGGGGGCAACCCUGGCGCAGCAACGCCGCGUGAGUGAGGAAGGUCUUCGGAUCGUAAAGCUCUGUCGGAUGGAAAGAACCGCAUAGGGGUAAACAGCCCCUGUGUCUGACGGUACCGUCAAAGGAAGCACCGGCUAACUCCGUGCCAGCCGCCGCGGUAAAAC
rnacentral:rRNA from 1 species